GCACUGAGAUGAAGCUGUGUGGAAUAUAGGCUUGGAUGAAUUUUCCAUCAAGUGCAGGACAUGUAGUGCUCAUCUGAGAUGUCCUGCUGACAAGAACAGCAGAGUGUCAUACCCACGGAACCACAGAAGCGUUACCCAGACAAAAUGAGCAUUUGUCGCCUGGACUUCCUACAAAUGACAGAGGCGGUGGGAAUCAGCAUCCGAAGCAUCCGUAAGACCCCUGCAAAGGAAUGG